GGUUCUAAUCACGGUAUGGAUAAUUACUCACCAACACUCUCUGGUGAAGUCACUUAAGCUCGGUGCCUUCAGGCCUGAUCUGAAACCUGUUGCAUCAGUGGAAAGAUUCCCAUUGGUUCCAGUGUGCUAUUGAUCUUUCAUUUCUGCAUCUGCAAUAUUAGGCCAGUUGGAUUUCUCUAUUUUAUUUUAUUUGAUUUUUCUCUCUCUCUCUUUUUCUUUUUUUUUUUUUUUUUUUUUUUUAAGGAGAAGUUAAUGACAUAAAUUUGAUGUUUCUUUUUUUUUCAGUAAAGGUUUUGGUGCAUCUCUGAUGACAAAUGUGUUACAUCAGGGCCUCUUCCAGUGCAGAUCAGGAAAAAACACUUUCAAAAAACACGCGGUGUGGAGGUGGAAAAUUAGCUUUGCUCAUUUCACUUGUAAAUACAUAUUUGUCCCUGCUUUGCUAAGAAAGGGCCAACGGCAAUUUUGUCAGUUUUUUUGUGUGAGUAGGAUUCAGCCUUUGUAAUUUCUCUGUCUACAGGAAUAUCAUCAUUCACUGAUUUAGGAUCCUGAUUUUUUUUCUUCUUCUUUUAGUGAAUCACAUAUAUACUCUUCAUUGUUAUGGCAACUGAGGGAGCUGCAAAGCUCAAGGAUUUGAUGAAGGGCUGCAUGCCACCUUUCUUCUCCCAGGGCCUGCCCCAAACCUCUUGUUUGCAAUACAGUUCGUAUCAAGCUGAAGGGAUCUGCCUUCACUGGGUCAGUAAAAAGAACAAGUUCCCUCUAGACAAGUGUACUUCUGCCUUUCGUAUGGGCAGAUGCAAUUGGCAAUUGCUGUCCAUUUAUACUAAGGACCAACCCAACACUCUCUGAAGUCAAUAGUUAGACUCUGACCUAGCCUCACAAACAACAGGCAGACACCAUGUGAAUCCUUAAGCAGGGACAUUAACGUCCCUGACUUUGGCAGAGCAAGGUAGACUAGAAGGGAGUUUUCACUGCUGCUACCCAAGAGGUAGCUUGUUGUGGGCAAUAAAUGAGAUUUCAGUGACCUCAAGUAUCCAGCCACAACAAAAUUAAUUUAGAAACCCUUUCAUUUAAAAGGAGGGUUUCAGGACAUCUCCUACCUUAAAGAUCUGACAAGCAAAUGAAUCAGGCUCCCCAGGUUUUUUAAUUAUUUCUGUUGCAGCUUUAGUUAGUUUAUCAAUAACA
rnacentral:lncRNA from 1 species